rnacentral:rRNA from 1 species
GACGAACGCUGGCGGCGUGCUUAACACAUGCAAGUCGAACGGUGAAGCACCUUCCUUUUGGUGGGUGUGGAUGAGUGGCGAACGGGUGAGUAACACGUGAGUAACCUGCCCCCUUCUUCUGGAUAACCGCAUGAAAGUGUGGCUAAUACGGGAUAUCCUGGGUCUGUCGCAUGGCGGGCCUGGGAAAGAUAUUGUUUCGGUGGGGGAUGGGCUCGCGGUCUAUCAGCUUGUUGGUGGGGUGAUGGCCUACCAAGGCGGUGACGGGUAGCCGGCCUGAGAGGGUGGACGGUCACACUGGGACUGAGACACGGCCCAGACUCCUACGGGAGGCAGCAGUGGGGAAUAUUGCACAAUGGGCGCAAGCCUGAUGCAGCGACGCCGCGUGAGGGAUGGAGGCCUUCGGGUUGUAAACCUCUUUCGCCAGUGAAGCAGGCCUGUCCCUUUUGUGGGUGGGUUGACGGUAGCUGGAUAAGAAGCGCCGGCUAACUACGUG